CUGUGGCAGUGCAUCAGCUACCAUUAGCCUGCUCUGCCCAAUGUAAUGCAGUGGAAUACAGACAAGUGUAGCGUACUGAAGCCCAGUCUAGUGGAGUGCUGUGUGCAAGAUCAUAGUAAGACUCCUUGCUAGCAUAUGCUUGUGUUUAAUGCAGCGACCUGCUUCUGCAUGAAAGGUCAGAGGUCCAGUCAUGCUACAAAACAGCCAUUCCAGACUGGGUAAUUAUUUAGUAACUUGCUCAACAACACUUUGGCUGUUUAGGUAUUACACGGACCUGAUCAUUGGCUGUCUGGUUAAAGGAUGUCCAGGUGCAAACCAGGUUCCCUACUCAUUAUUUUAAUACAUUUCACUUGCAUGUGCUUAUUGAAAGGAAGACCAAAACCUGACACUAGAACUACUUCUGAUUGUACGUCAAGGGGGGCUUGUCAUCCGUAUCUACUCAUAUCCUACAAUCCCUUUUGCUCUGAGCACUACUGCACUUAAAUGUCAGGGCUGAUGAGCCUGCCACACCCACCUGACACAUCAGCUCAGCGCCUGCUAAAAGCUUUUAUGGAACAGAGUGUGAGCCUGGUGGUUGAUAUAAAUUAAAGUGUUCUUUGCUUCUUUUUGGGGGGUAUUAUGGCUCUAAAAAGACAACUUCUGGUAAGAAAUAACGAGAGAAAGUAAGAGCAUAGGCUAUGAUUGGUUGCCAUCUAGUGGCUUGCUGCCACAUUAUCAUGGAUAGAAAGAAAGUGACCGAACUCUCACAGCCUAAAACUGUAUUAUGUUUCACACUAAUCAAAGACAAAGCAAAUAAUAUACAUUUCCUCCACCUUUAGUUAUU